UUUGGUGGCGAUGGCGGAGGGGUUCCACGCGUACCCAUCCCGAACACGACCGUUAAGCCCUCCAGCGCCGAUGGUACUUGGACCGCAGGGUCCUGGGAGAGUAGGACGUCGCCAAGC
rnacentral:rRNA from 1 species